rnacentral:lncRNA from 1 species
UCUUAUACCAUAUAUAUGAUUAUAAAUGUACUGAAGUAGAACUAUUUAGUUAGAUGUUCUUAUGACUCUCAGUCUGAGGAGGAUAUCAUCUUUAGUGACAAAAAUCUCUCUGCUUCUCUAGAGGCCAAGUAGGAAGCUGACAGAGCUAGCACCAACUGCAUUCAUGUUUUGCUUUCUUCUUUUUUGUCAAACACUGUGCUAGGACACAUUAUCCGGAUAAUUUAACAAUGUAAACACUGGAGAUAGAAUCACAUGCAAACACUCCAGAAGAUAUAUAUAAUCGCAUCACAACACAGCUAUAUCUCUAUAUCUGCAUCUGUAGCUGCUCAUCAGGAUGAACCCAAAAGGGCCGAGAACUCCAUCGCAAUGUUCGACGCAUGUGUGACGCACACAUAAGAUAGUAAUGUAGGUCCGGCUGAUCAUUGUGCAGGUAUCUCCUUCAGAUCCUGCAGCAAAAAAAUAAGAACAUCAUUUUGCACAGCAGCAUCAGAAAAAUAAUAGAGUACGGAGAAACUGUUAUAUAUUCUUUGGAUAGUUAUUCCGGGCAAGGCUUACCAGGAAGCAACAGGAGUGCCAUGAGCAAGAGCAAGCACAAGUCUGGCAUCUUGACCUUGAGAGCCUCCAUGUAUUAAAAGAGAGGAGAGACGGUGCAGAUCCAAAUAGGUUAGAGCCUUCUCUUCUUAUAGCCAUGGAUGAGCAGACUGUAUUAAAAGAAAAGAAAAACUAUGUAGAAAAAAAAGUAAGCAUGAUGCAAUUAUAUCUAGAAAAUGC